CCUGGUGGUUGGAGCGUAGUGGUUCGACCUGAUCCCAUCCCGAACUCAGUCGUCAAACACUACAGCGGGGACGAUAAUGAUCGCGCAGGCGAUUGUGAAAAUACCUCACUGCCAGAU
rnacentral:rRNA from 2 species